GACGCUGGCGGCGUGCCUAAUACAUGCAAGUAGAACGCUGAAGAGAGGAGCUUGCUCUUCUUGGAUGAGUUGCGAACGGGUGAGUAACGCGUAGGUAACCUGCCUUGUAGCGGGGGAUAACUAUUGGAAACGAUAGCUAAUACCGCAUAACAAUGGAUGACACAUGUCAUUUAUUUGAAAGGGGCAAUUGCUCCACUACAAGAUGGACCUGCGUUGUAUUAGCUAGUAGGUGAGGUAAUGGCUCACCUAGGCGACGAUACAUAGCCGACCUGAGAGGGUGAUCGGCCACACUGGGACUGAGACACGGCCCAGACUCCUACGGGAGGCAGCAGUAGGGAAUCUUCGGCAAUGGGGGCAACCCUGACCGAGCAACGCCGCGUGAGUGAAGAGGGUUUUCGGAUCGUAAAGCUCUGUUGUAAGUCAAGAACGGGUGUGAGAGUGGAAAGUUCACACUGUGACGGUAGCUUACCAGAAAGGGACGGCUAACUACGUG
rnacentral:rRNA from 1 species